GUGCCAGCAGCCGCGGUAAUACGUAGGGUGCGAGCGUUGUCCGGAAUUAUUGGGCGUAAAGGGCUCGUAGGCGGUUUGUCGCGUCGGGAGUGAAAACCAGGUGCUUAACACCUGGCCUGCUUCCGAUACGGGCAGACUAGAGGUAUGCAGGGGAGAACGGAAGUUCCUGGUGUAGCGGUGAAAUGCGCAGAUAUCAGGAGGAACACCGGUGGCGAAGGCGGUUCUCUGGGCAUUACCUGACGCUGAGGAGCGAAAGUGUGGGAGCGAACAGGAUUAGAUACCCUGGUAGUCCACACCGUAAACGUUGGCGCUAGGUGUGGGACUCGAUUCCACGAGUUCCGUGCCGCACGCUAACGCAUUAACGCGCCC
rnacentral:rRNA from 1 species